rnacentral:rRNA from 1 species
CGCGUAGGCGGCUUGGCAAGUCAGAUGUGAAAGCCCCGGGCUUAACUCGGGAAUUGCAUCUGAAACUGCUUUGCUUGAGUCCUGGAGGGGGUAGUGGAAUUCCCAGUGUAGCGGUGAAAUGCGUAGAUAUUGGGAGGAACACCUGUGGCGAAGGCGGCUACCUGGACAGUGACUGACGCUGAUGCGCGAAAGCUAGGGGAGCAAACGGGAUUAGAUACCCCGGUAGUCCUAGCCGUAAACGAUGGGCACUUGGUGUCGGGGGUAUUGAGUCCCCCGGUGCCGGAGUUAACACGUUAAGUGCCCCGCCUGGGGAGUACGGUCGCAAGACUGAA